rnacentral:rRNA from 1 species
AACGAACGCUGGCGGCAUGCCUAACACAUGCAAGUCGAACGAGACCUUCGGGUCUAGUGGCGCACGGGUGCGUAACGCGUGGGAACCUGCCCUUAGGUUCGGAAUCACUCCCCGAAAGGGGUGCUAAUACCGGAUAAUGUCUUCGGACCAAAGAUUUAUCGCCUUUGGAUGGGCCCGCGUUGGAUUAGCUAGUUGGUAGGGUAAAAGCCUACCAAGGCGACGAUCCAUAGCUGGUCUGAGAGGAUGAUCAGCCACACUGGGACUGAGACACGGCCCAGACUCCUACGGGAGGCAGCAGUGGGGAAUAUUGGACAAUGGGCGAAAGCCUGAUCCAGCAAUGCCGCGUGAGUGAUGAAGGCCUUAGGGUUGUAAAGCUCUUUUACCCGGGAUGAUAAUGACAGUACCGGGAGAAGAAGCACCGGCUAACUCCGUG